rnacentral:rRNA from 1 species
AGAGUUUGAUCAUGGCUCAGGAUGAACGCUAGCGGGAGGCUUAACACAUGCAAGUCGAGGGGUAGAGGCAGCAAUGCCUUGAGACCGGCGCACGGGUGAGUAACACGUGGAUAACCUACCCUGCAAACCGGGAUAACACUCCGAAAGGAGUGCUAAUACCGGAUGGACUUGACCCUCACAUGGGGGUUAAGGGAAAGGAGCAAUCCGAUGCAGGAUGGGUCCGCGUCCCAUUAGCUAGUUGGUGAGGUAACGGCCCACCAAGGCGACGAUGGGUAGCCGGCCUGAGAGGGUGAACGGCCACACUGGGACUGAGAUACGGCCCAGACUCCUACGGGAGGCAGCAGUCGGGAAUCUUCCGCAAUGGGCGAAAGUCUGACGGAGCAACGCCGCGUGAGCGAAGAAGGCCUUCGGGUCGUAAAGCUCUGUUGUUAGGGAAGAACAAGUAUCGGAGUAACUGCCGGUACCUUGACGGUACCUAACCAGAAAGCCACGGCUAACUACGUGCCAGCAGCCGCGGUAAUACGUAGGUGGCAAGCGUUGUCCGGAAUUAUUGGGCGUAAAGCGCGCGCAGGCGGUCCUUUAAGUCUGAUGUGAAAGCCCACGGCUCAACCGUGGAGGGUCAUUGGAAACUGGGGGACUUGAGUGCAGAAGAGGAGAGUGGAAUUCCACGUGUAGCGGUGAAAUGCGUAGAGAUGUGGAGGAACACCAGUGGCGAAGGCGACUCUCUGGUCUGUAACUGACGCUGAGGCGCGAAAGCGUGGGGAGCAAACAGGAUUAGAUACCCUGGUAGUCCACGCCGUAAACGAUGAGUGCUAAGUGUUAGAGGGUUUCCGCCCUUUAGUGCUGCAGCUAACGCAUUAAGCACUCCGCCUGGGGAGUACGGCCGCAAGGCUGAAACUCAAAGGAAUUGACGG